rnacentral:rRNA from 1 species
UACGACUACAUAUCAGGCAUAUCAAUAAGCGGAGGAAAAGAAACUAACAAGGAUUCCCCUAGUAACGACGAGUGAAGCGGGAAGAGCUCAAAUUUGAAAUCUUAAAGGGUUUCCCUUUACGAAUUGUAGUUUAAAGAAGUGUUUUCUGUUGGAGUUUCGGUAAAAGUUCUUUGGAAUAGGACAUCAUAGAGGGUGAGAAUCCCGUAUUUGACCGUUACUUUCCAGCUGUGUGAUACACUUUCAAAGAGUCGGAUUGUUUGGGAAUGCAGUCCAAGAUGGGUGGUAAAUUUCAUCUAAAGCUAAAUAUUGGCGAGAGACCGAUAGCGAACAAGUACCGUGAGGGAAAGAUGAAAAGAACUUUGAAAAGAGAGUUAAACAGUACGUGAAAUUGUCAAAAGGGAAGCGUUUGACACCAGUGUUGUUUAGUUGAAAAUCAAUUCAAUAGUUUUUGAUUCUAAGUAGUAUUGACUUCAUCAGCUUGCUGCUUUCUUCUCAGAAAUUAUUGAAUGCACUUUUCAGUUAACAAGUCAACAUCAAUUUCUUUUGUUGUAAAAGGGUAAGAGGAAGGUGGCUUGCGCUUCGGCUCAAGUGUUUAUAGCCUUUUAUCUCUGCAAUCGGAGAGAUUGAGGUCUGCAGCGUAGAUCCUUCGGGGUUAGAUACAUUGGUGCUAAGCUAUAGCCUUGUAUAGACAACUUGUUGACUAUGCUCAGUCAUGUAGCUUACUCGCUGAUGCUAUUUUACCUACGCUUAGGAUGUUGAGUAGCGACAUACGCAC